rnacentral:rRNA from 1 species
GAUGAACGCUGGCGGCGUGCUUAACACAUGCCAGUCGAACGGUGAAGGCGGAGCUUGCUCUGCUGGAUCAGUGGCGAACGGGUGAGUAACACGUGAGCAAUCUGCCCCUGACUCUGGGAUAAGCGCUGGAAACGGCGUCUAAUACUGGAUACGAGCUGCGAAGGCAUCUUCAGCAGCUGGAAAGAAUUUCGGUCAGGGAUGAGCUCGCGGCCUAUCAGCUUGUUGGUGAGGUAAUGGCUCACCAAGGCGUCGACGGGUAGCCGGCCUGAGAGGGUGACCGGCCACACUGGGACUGAGACACGGCCCAGACUCCUACGGGAGGCAGCAGUGGGGAAUAUUGCACAAUGGGCGAAAGCCUGAUGCAGCAACGCCGCGUGAGGGACGACGGCCUUCGGGUUGUAAACCUCUUUUAGCAGGGAAGAAGCGAAAGUGACGGUACCUGCAGAAAAAGCGCCGGCUAACUACGUG